rnacentral:rRNA from 1 species
ACAUGCCUACAACAUAGCGUUAAUGUAUUGGAUCCCAUUAGAACUUCACGGUUAAGCCCGCUCAGGCUAGAGUAGUACUUUGAUGGGUGACCACCUGAGAAGCCCUAGUGUUUUACAUGCC